CAGGGAUUGCCUUAGUAACGGCGAGUGAAGCGGCAACAGCUCAAAUUUGAAAUCUGGCCCUUGGGUCCGAAUUGUAAUUUGUAGAGGAUGAUUUUGGUGCGGUAUCUUCCGAGUUCCUUGGAACAGGACGCCUUAGAGGGUGAGAGCCCCGUACGGUUGAAUGCCUAGCCUCUGUAAAUCUCCUUCGACGAGUCGAGUAGUUUGGGAAUGCUGCUCUAAAUGGGAGGUAAAUUUCUUCUAAAGCUAAAUAUUGGCCAGAGACCGAUAGCGCACAAGUAGAGUGAUCGAAAGAUGAAAAGCACUUUGAAAAGAGGGUUAAAUAGCACGUGAAAUUGUUGAAAGGGAAGGAUUUGUGACCAGACUUUUUCUGGGCGGAUCAUCCGGGGUUCUCUCCGGUGCACUUCGCCCAGUAAAGGCCAGCAUCGGUUUUCGGCGUGGGAUAAAAGCAGUAGGAAUGUGGCUCUCUACGGGGAGUGUUAUAGCCUAUUGUAUAAUACCGCGCUGGGGACCGAGGUUCGCGCUUCUGCAAGGAUGCUGGCGUAAUGGUUAUCAAUCACCCGUCUUGAAACACGGACCAAGGAGUCGAACAUUUGUGCGAGUGUUUGGGUGUUAAACCCUCACGCGUAAUGAAAGUGAACGGAGGUGAGAGCCCUUACGGGUGCAUCAUCGACCGAUCCUGAAGUUUUCGGAUGGAUUUGAGUAAGAGCAUAACUGUUCGGACCCGAAAGAUGGUGAACUAUGCGUGGAUAGGGUGAAGCCAGAGGAAACUCUGGUGGAGGCUCGCAGCGGUUCUGACGUGCAAAUCGAUCGUCAAAUCUGCGC
rnacentral:rRNA from 1 species